AGAGUUUGAUCAUGGCUCAGAACGUACGCUGGCGGCACGCCUAACACAUGCAAGUCGAACGAAGUAGCAAUACUUAGUGGCAGACGGGUGAGUAACAUGUAGGUAUCUGCCCUUUGGCCUGGAAUAACACGAGGAAACUUGUGCUAAUACCGGAUAAGUCUUUACGGAGAAAGCUUUAUGCACCAUUGGAUGAGCCUGCACUUGAUUAGUUUGUUGGUGGGGUAAUGGCCUACCAAGACUGUGAUCAAUAGCUGAUUUGAGAGGAUGAUCAGCCACAUUGGGACUGAGACACGGCCCAAACUCCUACGGGAGGCAGCAGUGGGGAAUCUUGCACAAUGGAGGAAACUCUGAUGCAGCGAUGCCGCGUGAGUGAAGAAGGCCUUUGGGUUGUAAAGCUCUUUCGUCGGGGAAGAAAAUGACUGUACCCGAAUAAGAAGGUCCGGCUAACUUCGUGCCAGCAGCCGCGGUAAUACGAAGGGACCUAGCGUAGUUCGGAAUUACUGGGCUUAAAGAGUUCGUAGGUGGUUGAAAAAGUUAGUGGUGAAAUCCCAGAGCUUAACUCUGGAACUGCCAUUAAAACUUUUCAGCUAGAGUAUGAUAGAGGAAAGCAGAAUUUCUAGUGUAGAGGUGAAAUUCGUAGAUAUUAGAAAGAAUACCAAUUGCGAAGGCAGCUUUCUGGAUCAUUACUGACACUGAGGAACGAAAGCAUGGGUAGCGAAGAGGAUUAGAUACCCUCGUAGUCCAUGCCGUAAACGAUGUGUGUUAGACGUUGGAAAUUUAUUUUCAGUGUCGCAGCGAAAGCGAUAAACACACCGCCUGGGGAGUACGACCGCAAGGUUAAAACUCAAAUGAAUUGACGGGGACCCGCACAAGUAGUGGAGCAUGUGGUUUAAUUCGAAGAUACGCGCAGAACCUUACCAACACUUGACAUGUUCGUCGCGACUUUAAGAGAUUAAAGUUUUCGGUUCGGCCGGACGGAACACAGGUGCUGCAUGGCUGUCGUCAGCUCGUGUCGUGAGAUGUUGGGUUAAGUCCCGCAACGAGCGCAACCCUCACUUUUAGUUGCCAUCAUUAAGUUGGGCACUCUGAAAGAACUGCCAGUGAUAAGCUGGAGGAAGGUGGGGAUGACGUCAAGUCCUCAUGGCCCUUACGUGUUGGGCUACACACGUGCUACAAUGGUAUCUACAACAGGAAGCAAAACUGCGAAGUUAAGCAAAUCCUUAAAAGAUACCUCAGUUCGGAUUGCACUCUGCAACUCGAGUGCAUGAAGCUGGAAUUACUAGUAAUCGUGGAUCAGCGUGCCACGGUGAAUGCGUUCCCGGGUCUUGUACACACCGCCCGUCACACCAUGGGAGUUGGUUCUACCUUAAGGCAAGGUUUCAAACCCUUGACCACGGUAUAGUCAGCGACUGGGGUGAAGUCGUAACAAGGUA
rnacentral:rRNA from 2 species